rnacentral:lncRNA from 10 species
GCUGUCACAGGAGAAAAAAGUGUAGAGUUCCAACCUAAUGGUAAUUAAGAUUCCAGAUCCGAAAGAUGUCAUGUGAAUAUUGCUCUGAAAAACCAAAAUUAAAGCUUUCUUAAAGAUGCUGUGUAGGGCUGAGAGGUUUUUCACUUGUACCAGUGAGAGCUGCAUCAUUAAUAGUCUUCAAAUUCAGCAAGUUCUGCCUCUAGAGAGCACCAGAGCAGCUACUUAUGAUUUGUUUCAUGACUCUGAAACUAUUACUCCCUCCAAUGGCUCUACAAAGCCAAUAUAAUGUGCACUUGGAUACCUAGUCCCUCAUGGCUACUGCACAAUGCUUAGGUUGUUUAUAUUUGGAAGUCAGAAAAACAUGUUGCUUGAAAGGCAUUAAGAUGCAUGGGGUCACUUAAAGCUAUUGACUAUAUUUUCAUUCUCUGUUGGCACUUAGGGAAGGCAUUUCCAGAUAAAUGUCUUCGGUAUGGCUAGUCAUUAGUUCUCUAAUCUGUAAUUUAGACACUGCUGUCAAACUAAAACAUCCAGUCCUUUGUUAAGCUCUGUUUUUUAUCACUUGCCCUAAGCUAUGAGCAAAAUGCCUACAUUGACAAUAACACAUUUAUUAAAUUGCUAUAUCAACGUAUUCACCACUCAGUCCAGCCUAGUGUUGCUAUUAAACUUUAGAUGUCUCUCCUAUGGGCUCUCAUAUCACCCAAUACAUAUCUUCACCAUGUCAGUAUUUACUUGCUGGGGAGGUGGCCUUACCCUACACUUGAAUUUCUCAAAGCCUGUCUUAAAGACUAGUAUCUUUUAAGUCUUUGGUUACAUCUAAGUUCCCAGCACUUAGCAGUGUCUGGCAUUUGGUAACUCUCAUUGUUGAACAGAUUGUUGCAAAGUUACUUGUUUUCCUUCCAUGGCACCAACCUUAAAGGUUAGAAUCACCAUUCCAAAAUUUCCUUUCCAUAAAUUUAUGUACAUCUUUUGAAACUCUGUACUUCCAGCCUUUAUCAUAUCUGAAAAUCUGACAUGAAAAUGUGUCAGCUCAGUUUAAUUACUGCAAUAGCUUCCUAACUUGAAACAAUUUGCCUCCAGUUUCUCCUUCAGGUUACCAAUUCUGUUCAAUGCAUCCAAAUUCAUGUUCCCUUAAACGUCUUAGAUUUUUAAUCCCCUAAAAUCAACUUGCUGCUCUAAGAAUAAAGUAUUAACUUUGCACUAGUAUUGAAGGCCAUCUCUUCCCUUCUCACUAAUUUUCAAUGAAAAUUUUAUUUAGAUAGUGAGUUGGGGGUCCCCAAGAUCAUACUGAGGUUCAUUGAUACACUUGGAAUCAUAGGACUCAGAAAAGCUGCUAUGCUCCCAGUUGCAGAUUAUAGUGAGAGGAUAUAGAUUAAAAUCAGUAAAUGGAAAAGGUGUGCAGGGUGAAAAUCAGGAGAAACCAGGCACAAACUUCAAGAUGUCCUCUCCCAGUGGAGCUGCACAGACAGCACCUAGUUCAGCAACGGUGUUUACCAACACAUGCAAAGUAUUGCUAAUAAGCUCUCUUGAGCCUUGGUGUUCAGGGUUUUUAUGAGGGUUCAGUCACAUAAAUAUUCAGUUCCCUCAUAACUGACCUUAGCUCCUGAAUCUCGUUUCCCAGAGCUUAAACUGUAACAGCAAGGCCUAUGGUCUCAGGCAUACAAAAGCACUCUUAACAGGUAAGACAUCCCAAGGACUCAAGAGAUUUUCUUCCAGGAACUGGUGAAGGACAGGUCCUUUCUUUGCAAUAAAAAGGAUUUGAGCCUUUACUGUACAGAGAGGUCAGUCUACUCCUUAUUACUCAACCACAUCUUACUCCUUCUUGCCUUCCUGUCUGCCAAUUUGAAGUUUUCCUAACCAUCUAUGGAAAUCCUUACUAUCCUUAGGGUCAAGCACAAGUCAUCCAUUUCCAUGAAGAUUCUCC